rnacentral:rRNA from 1 species
GAUGAACGCUGGCGGUAUGCUUAACACAUGCGAGUCGAACGGACUCUUCGGAGUUAGUGGCGGACGGGUGAGUAACGCGUGAGAAUCUGGCUUUGGGUUCGGGACAACCACUGGAAACGGUGGCUAAUACCGGAUGUGCCGAGAGGUAAAAGAGAAAUUGCCUGAAGAUGAGCUCGCGUCUGAUUAGCUAGUUGGUGAGGUAAAGGCUCACCAAGGCAGCGAUCAGUAGCUGGUCUGAGAGGAUGACCAGCCACACUGGGACUGAGACACGGCCCAGACUCCUACGGGAGGAAGCAGUGGGGAAUUUUCCGCAAUGGGCGAAAGCCUGACGGAGCAAUACCGCGUGAGGGAAGAAGGCUCUUGGGUUGUAAACCUCUUUUCUUAGGGAAGAACAAAAUGACGGUACCUAAGGAAUCAGCAUCGGCUAACUCCGUG